rnacentral:rRNA from 1 species
UACGUAGGGGGCGAGCGUUGUCCGGAUUUACUGGGCGUAAAACGCUUGUAGGUGGCCACGCCAAGUCGGAUGUGAAAUCUCCCGGCUUAACUGGGAGCGGUCAUUCGAUACUGGCGGGCUCGAGGCAGGUAGGGGGAAGCGGAAUUCCCGGUGUAGUGGUGGAAUGCGUAGAUAUCGGGAGGAACACCAGUGGCGAAGGCGGCUUCCUGGACCUGUUCUGACACUGAGGAGCGAAAGCGGUGGGGAGCGAUCCGG